CCCAGACUCCUACGGGAGGCAGCAGUGAGGAAUAUUGGUCAAUGGCCGAGAGGCUGAACCAGCCAAGUCGCGUGAGGGAAGACGGCCCUACGGGUUGUAAACCUCUUUUGUCGGGGAGCAAAGCGAACCACGUGUGGUUCAUUGAGAGUACCCGAAGAAAAAGCAUCGGCUAACUCCGUGCCAGCAGCCGCGGUAAUACGGAGGAUGCGAGCGUUAUCCGGAUUUAUUGGGUUUAAAGGGUGCGCAGGCGGAAGAUCAAGUCAGCGGUAAAAUUGAGAGGCUCAACCUCUUCGAGCCGUUGAAACUGGUUUUCUUGAGUGAGUGAGAAGUAUGCGGAAUGCGUGGUGUAGCGGUGAAAUGCAUAGAUAUCACGCAGAACUCCGAUUGCGAAGGCAGCAUACCGGCGCUCAACUGACGCUCAUGCACGAAAGUGUGGGUACCGAACAGGAUUAGAUACCCCGGUAC
rnacentral:rRNA from 1 species